ensembl:rRNA 5S_rRNA 5S ribosomal RNA
GUCUAUGGCCAUAUCACCUUGAAUGUUUCUGAUCUCAUUAGCCAAGCAGGGUCAGGCCUGGUUUGUACUUUGAUGGGAGAAAAUAAAAUCAUGAUUGACC